CAGCCGCCGCGGUAAUACCGGCAGCUCAAGUGAUGGCCACUAUUAUUGGGCCUAAAGCGUCCGUAGCUGGCUAGACAGGUCCGUCGGGAAAUCCACUCGCUCAACGGGUGGGCGUCCGGCGGAAACCAGCUAGCUUGGGACCGAGCGACCUGAGGGGUACGUCCGGGGUAGGAGUGAAAUCCCGUAAUCCCGGACGGACCAUCGGUGGCGAAAGCGCCUCAGGAGAGCGGAUCCGACAGUGAGGGACGAAAGCUAGGGUCUCGAACCGGAUUAGAUACCCGGGUAGUCCUAGCCGUAAACGAUGCUCGCUAGGUGUGGCGCUGGCUACGAGCCAGCGCUGUGCCGUAGGGAAGCCGUGAAGCGAGCCGCCUGGGAAGUACGUCCGCAAGGAUGAAACUUAAAGGAAUUGGCGGGGGAGCAC
rnacentral:rRNA from 1 species